UACGAAGGGGGCUAGCGUUGCUCGGAAUCACUGGGCGUAAAGGGUGCGUAGGCGGGUCUUUAAGUCAGGGGUGAAAUCCUGGAGCUCAACUCCAGAACUGCCUUUGAUACUGGGGAUCUCGAGUCCGGAAGAGGUGAGUGGAACUGCAAGUGUAGAGGUGAAAUUCGUAGAUAUUCGCAAGAACACCAGUGGCGAAGGCGGCUCACUGGUCCGGUUCUGACGCUGAGGCGCGAAAGCGUGGGGAGCAAACAGG
rnacentral:rRNA from 1 species